GAUGAACGCUGGCGGCGUGCCUAAUACAUGCAAGUCGAGCGAACGGACGAGAAACUUGCUUCUCUGAUGUUAGCGGCGGACGGGUGAGUAACACGUGGAUAACCUACCUAUAAGACUGGGAUAACUUCGGGAAAACGGAGCUAAUACCGGAUAAUAUUUUGAACCGCAUGGUUCAAAAGUGAAAGACGGGCUUGCUGUCACUUAUAGAUGGAUCCGCGCUGCAUUAGCUAGUUGGUAAGGUAACGGCUUACCAAGGCAACGAUGCAUAGCCGACCUGAGAGGGUGAUCGGCCACACUGGAACUGAGACACGGUCCAGACUCCUACGGGAGGCAGCAGUAGGGAAUCUUCCGCAAUGGGCGAAAGCCUGACGGAGCAACGCCGCGUGAGUGAUGAAGGUCUUCGGAUCGUAAAACUCUGUUAUUAGGGAAGAACAUAUGUGUAAGUAACUGUGCACAUCUUGACGGUACCUAAUCAGAAAGCCACGGCUAACUACAUG
rnacentral:rRNA from 1 species